GACGAACGCUGGCGGCGUGCUUAACACAUGCAAGUCGAACGAAGAGCGAUGGAAGCUUGCUUCUAUCAAUCUUAGUGGCGAACGGGUGAGUAACGCGUAAUCAACCUGCCCUUCAGAGGGGGACAACAGUUGGAAACGACUGCUAAUACCGCAUACGAUCUAACCUUGGCAUCGAGGAUGGAUGAAAGGUGGCCUCUAUUUAUAAGCUAUCACUGAAGGAGGGGAUUGCGUCUGAUUAGCUAGUUGGAGGGGUAACGGCCCACCAAGGCGAUGAUCAGUAGCCGGUCUGAGAGGAUGAACGGCCACAUUGGGACUGAGACACGGCCCAGACUCCUACGGGAGGCAGCAGUGGGGAAUCUUCCGCAAUGGACGAAAGUCUGACGGAGCAACGCCGCGUGAGUGAUGACGGCCUUCGGGUUGUAAAGCUCUGUUAAUCGGGACGAAAGGCCUUCUUGCGAAUAGUUAGAAGGAU
rnacentral:rRNA from 1 species